rnacentral:lncRNA from 1 species
AUUAAAAAUGACAUGUUAUGAUCUUUUUAUCAUAUGCUUCAACAGUAGAGAAAAAUAACAGAUUCAUAUAUUGAUCCUUCUACGUGGUUCCCGAAAAGAAGUUGAAAGAGUAAAAAGUUCACGGACGUCGGACACAAAAUUUGAUACAUUCAAUAUGAAAUAUUUCCAUCAUAUGCCUCAACAGAGAAAAAAAACAGAUUUUAAUAUAAACG